rnacentral:rRNA from 1 species
CCUACGGGGGGCAGCAGUGAGGAAUAUUGGUCAAUGGGCGGAAGCCUGAACCAGCCAAGUCGCGUGAGGGAAUAAGGCCCUACGGGUCGUAAACCUCUUUUUCCGGGGAGCACGGGCGGGUACGUGUCCCUUCCCGGAGAGUCCCCGGAGAAAAAGCCUCGGCUAACUCCGUACCAGCAGCCGCGGUAAUACGGAGGAUGCGAGCGUUAUCCGGAUUUAUUGGGUUUAACGGGUGCGUAGGUUGUGUUUUAAGUCAGCGGUGAAAGUUUGUGGCUCAACCAUAAAAUUGCCGUUGAAACUGGAAGACUGGAGUGUGUUUGAGGUAGGCGGAAUGCGUGGUGUAGCGGUGAAAUGCAUAGAUAUCACGCAGAACUCCGAUUGCGAAGGCAGCUUACUAAGCCAUAACUGACACUGAAGCACGAAAGCGUGGGGAUCAAACAGGAUUAGAUACCCUUGUAGUC